rnacentral:rRNA from 1 species
UUAAUGACUCUCGGCAACGGAUAUCUCGGCUCUCGCAUCGAUGAAGAACGUAGCGAAAUGCGAUACUUGGUGUGAAUUGCAGAAUCCCGUGAACCAUCGAGUCUUUGAACGCAAGUUGCGCCCGAAGCCAUUUGGUUGAGGGCACGUCUGCCUGGGCGUCACGU